CAGGCCGCCCGGGAUGAGCUAAUAAUGGAAGCAAUUUGUAACUUUCAGUAACUCUCUAGGCCUGGGUACCGGAGGGAGGGAGGCGGGCAGAGGAGGGGAGAUGGGCACCCCCAGUUUUUCCAUCCUCCUCAUUCGUCUAGGGGCACCCGAAUCCCCUAUUCCUUAUUUCCCCUAUCACUCAGGCACUGGCAGGGUCCUUUUCCCACUCCUGUUGGCCGCCGCGGCUCCAAAGCGAGCUUCCACAAUUCUCAGCUUCCAACGGACUCAUCCUCCCCUCUCCUCCCAGCGAAGGACGGAUGCCUGGGAAGUAGACAGUGUCCUUCUUGGGUCAGAACCUAUGCUCUGGUUCUAGUUCAGGACACCUCCAGUCUCACCUCCAAGCCGGCAAAACGAAUGUGCCUGAGACAGGUUUGACCAGGCAACUGAAAAUAUAUCCCUAAGAGAAGACAAAACAAAGAUAUGAAAGGAACACACUUCCCUGACUGACUAGGAGGAACAGAGCUGCCUGCUGACUGGAACCGCUUCCUCCCAGACUAAGUGAGAAAUAAACUUCUGUUUUCUAUA
rnacentral:lncRNA from 1 species